rnacentral:rRNA from 1 species
CAAUAGCGUAUAUUAAAGUUGUUGCAGUUAAAAAGCUCGUAGUUGGAUUUCGGGGCAGCCUGGCUGGUCCGCCGCAAGGCGAGUACUGGUCAGCCGCCCUUCCUCUCGAAAGCCCCGACUGCUCUUCGUUGCAGUGGUCGGGUAGUUCGGGACGUUUACUUUGAAAAAAUUAGAGUGUUCAAGGCAGGCCUACGCCUGAAUACAUUAGCAUGGAAUAAUGGAAGAGGACCUCGGUCCUAUUUUGUUGGUUUCCAGGGCCGAAGUAAUGAUUAAGAGGGACAGUUGGGGGCAUUCGUAUUUAAUUGUCAGAGGUGAAAUUCUCGGAUUUAUGAAAGACGAACAACUGCGAAAGCAUUUGCCAAGGAUGUUUUCAUUA